AAUAUUGGACAAGGGUUGCAACCGUGAUCCAGCCAGGCCGCGUGUGUGAAGAAGGUCUUCGGAUAAUAAAGCACUUUAAGUAGGGAGGAAGGGCUUUAGGUUAAAACCCUGAAGUUUUGACGUUACCAACAGAAUAAGCACCUGCUAACACUCUGCCAGCAGCCGCGGUAAUACAGAGGGUGCAAGCGUUAAUCGGAAUUACUGGGCGUAAAGCGCGCGUAGGUGGUUCAGUAAGAUGGGUGUGAAAUCCCCGGGCUUAACCUGGGAACUGCUUUCAUAACUGCUGAGCUAGAGUACGGUAGAGGGUAGUGGAAUUUCCUGUGUAGCGGUGAAAUGCGUAGAUAUAGGAAGGAACACCAGUGGCGAAGGCGACUACCUGGACUGAUACUGACACUGAGGUGCGAAAGCGUGGGGAGCAAAC
rnacentral:rRNA from 1 species